rnacentral:rRNA from 1 species
UACAGAGGUCUCAAGCGUUGUUCGGAUUCAUUGGGCGUAAAGGGUGCGUAGGUGGCGCGGUAAGUCGGGUGUGAAAUUUCGGAGCUUAACUCCGAAACUGCAUUCGAUACUGCCGUGCUUGAGGACUGGAGAGGAGACUGGAAUUUACGGUGUAGCAGUGAAAUGCGUAGAGAUCGUAAGGAAGACCAGUGGCGAAGGCGGGUCUCUGGGCCGAUACUGACGCUGAGGAGCGAAAGCGUGGGGAGCGAACAGG